rnacentral:rRNA from 1 species
UACGUAGGGCGCAAGCGUUGUCCGGAAUUAUUGGGCGUAAAGAGCUCGUAGGCGGUCUGUCGCGUCUGCCGUGAAAACCCGAGGCUUAACCUCGGGCUGGCGGCGGAUACGGGCAGACUAGAGGUAGGUAGGGGAGAAUGGAAUUCCCGGUGUAGCGGUGAAAUGCGCAGAUAUCGGGAGGAACACCGGUGGCGAAGGCGGUUCUCUGGGCCAUUACUGACGCUGAGGAGCGAAAGCGUGGGGAGCGAACAGG